GUUGGAAAGAUUAUCAGGAGACUUAAUCUCCAGCGUGAAGGGGAGACCAGAUGUCCUGCUCCCGGGAAUGAUUUAAAAAUCAUGUUCCAUGCCCCAGAUCUCCGCUCCCAUAACAUGCAAAUAGGAGGUCCUUGCUGAUUUGAUACCAUCCAAUGUGGAAUAUGCUAGGGAGGGUGAUCCUUAGUGGCCAAGGCUACCAAAUACUUUGGAACCAUUCUCCCACUGAUGAUACCUAGGCUGUACCUUGAGAAUCUGGGUGGGUGCUGGUCAUGGAGUAGAGGAAAAGCAUGGAAGUGUGGUGGCGGCAGAUCUCGGCCUUGCUUUGACCCAUCUGAACAAGUAAAUGCUGCCUCUGACCUCGGAAACCCGGCUUCACACACCCCAGAUCCUUUCGUUGGGGAAACCUGUUCUAUGAGGACAAACGGAGACAUCUAUUAUUUGGAAAUGCUCUCUGGAGUCGACAUCAUUCCACACAACCUGAUGCUUUGCUGAUAUGGUUGUAACCUGCCUCCAGACCAGAAGGGUGCUCUAGGAAUGGGUAUGAAAGCACACACCUCUCUUUCUGCUGUCCAUUUAGAAGCCCCCCUUGCUCACGCAGCUGUGGCGACAAGCACUUUUGAUUGGGCGAGGGUUACUCAGGCCAUAGGGAGAGCAUGAGAAAGAGAUGAUGUUCCCUUGAUAGUAGGUCAUGGGAGAAUAUUCUAGGCCACGGCGUGAUUAACCAGAAUGAAAUUCUCCUGAGUCUAGUAGAGACUCAAAUGGAUGGGAAGAGAGGGCCACGCCUCGAGUUGCGCUAAUUGGACUUCGCCCAGAUGCAAAAGCUUGUAAACUUCAAACAGCAAGGCAAACAUGUGUUGACUUCCUGAACAAGCUGGUGGGAAGAAUCUUUGCCACCCGUGCUCUCCAGGGUGGCACCCGAGGCAGUAAGGUGGGCAUUUUACAGCUGCAGUGCCCCACCGGCCAAAGUCAAGUUUCCUCAGCAAGUUUUCUUCCCCUCCUGAGCGUUCCCAUUGUUCUCAGUGCCUGAGACAGAGGCAGAGCUGAGAGUCGAGGUGGGGGAGGGGAGGCAGGGGAGGAGAAGGAUGGGGUGGAAAGUGCCUUGGUGAAACAAGAGGCAGGCUUUCUAAAUGUCCAGGGGUUCCUGCGACGUUGCUCCCUCCUUCUCUGAGGUUAGUGGGUUUAAUUAUUAAACACAGAAGCUUCAUCAACAUUUGGGCUCCUUGGAGACAACCAGCAAUUAUCUCAGAUUCUGUUCCCACUACCAUCCCUCCCCAACUUCAAAGGGAACUCAUUACCAGGCCCCAAAUUCUUCAAAUUACUUUCCCAUCAUCUCCAAUGAUGUUUAUAAGUCGUUCAUAAUGAGAGUCUAAUCUACCGUCAGAUUACUAAAGAAGCUCUCAGAAGAUGGACUGCGAUAAAAUUAUCCCAACUUGGGCUGAUUAUCUUUGGAUCAUUCCUCCCAACAAGAUCUUACUCACUGGUUUGUUACAAUUUUAGGAGAUAUUUUAUGUACAUAUAUUUACAAGAAUAAUUUAUACAGAUUUCUCCCUGGCUCUUAUUGGCAAAUUAACAUCCAAAUGAGGCUUCUCAAAAUGAGCUAGUUUAUGUCUUGCGGAUGAAUAAUUAAAAAUGUAUAUUAAACUGGAGUGAAUGUGAUGAGCCUGUCUUUGAGGUUGCCAGUAAAAUAUAGUAGCCUUUGUUUUAUGGAAGAUUGUAUUUCAUAUGAGGAAGAUCAAGACAUCCCAGAGCCCUGGAGGCUUUAUUAAUAGACAGCUUAGUUCAUUAAUGUGAGCAAUGCCAAGGUUUGUCCUUGACAUCAACAACAACAAAAAAAGAAGAAAGAAAAAAGGAGAGACAUAGUUACACAUCUUAUGUUUUUUACUUAAGAUUUUUUUCCAUCACUAUUUACAUGAUUACUUGAUAAAAAUGUAAGUAGUAAACCAGGUGGAGUUGGUGGCAAGAAUUUCCUGGAAAUCAUCUUUAUAAAGAUUUAAAAAAUCUCAUGCACACAUCAGGCUGAGCCUUUAUUGUCUACUGUUUUUCCCUCAGCUGCCUGCCCUCGCAAGCAGGCUCUCCUCUUUGGGCGGGUGAGGUGGGUUGUCUGCCCCUCACUGUGUCCUUAUCGAUUGCAGAGGGAGAAGAGAGGAUGCGGUGUAGGGGUCUACCUUUAAGCAUUUGCAGGGGCAGACAGCUGCUGAGCUCCAACAGCAAUCCCAAUGCAGAGAGAUAGUGAGCAGGAGGAUAGGCCAAGUUUCCACCAGCAGCAUGAGCAGGGGAUCUUAAGCACAACCUAAUCAAGCAGCAUCCAUCAGGCGCAUCAGAGAACGAGGCAGGUAAGUUGACAGAGAGAUGGAACAGGGUAGAAACUACAGCUCUGCUGUUUGUAGAUUCCGUAACAAGGGACCUUCAGAUCAUGACCUGUUCCUUGCUGCCCCUACUUUAAUCUUUCUUGUCCCACUUUUGUUCUAAGUCUGGGCAAAGUCACUGAGGGACAUGAAUCAGGAGAGGUCAUAUGUCACUCAGCUACGGGAGAAGGGAGCUUUUUCCGAAAGGUGUGAAGGAUGUUGCGACAUCUGUCAUGUUCUUGUUCACGUCUGCCUAUCUUUCCUUCCCUGCCUGGGAUCAGAUGCCAUAAAAACGGAAACUUUGACAUGUGAUCACAUUAAUUUUUAACUCUGAACUCUUGGCACCAGAGACCAAAUCACUGAAUAGAGAUAAGGCUUAAUCAUCUAUUCCCCAGGAGGAAGUAAAGAGACUUGUAACAGGAGAGAGGGCGAUACAGGUAAGAGGGAGGGAAGCGGGGAGGGCUCUUCUCAUUCCUUCCUGUUCUUGGGGCUGUCAGGUCAGAGGAAGUCUGCAGUGUCCUGGCCACUUAUUAAAAACAAGGGCACUGUACACAAAUAAGUGAGGGCCAGACAGACAGAAUGCACUAGGAAGUUGUGGGGAGCAGAUGAAGACCUGAGUGAUAUAUUAUUGACAUGAGCACGGCCAUGUCAGGGACCCCAAUGCCCCAGACCCACGGGAAUGGCAAGGCCUUCUCUGGGUCAGGUUCAGGAAUGGAAAAGCCAUCCCCUUAGUGGAGGAGUACAUUAUUAAUGUCAUCUCUCUGAUUAGCCCUGAUGAUUGAAAGACUCCGGACCAAACCCCAAAAGGACCAAAACAGCAGAGCAAACAGGGUUGUAUACUGCUUUAGUGCCCAAGAGUAGGUCUGUAGGGAGUUGGAUGGUCGUUUCACCAGAAGUCACUAGUGGAUGCCUACAUGCAGAAAUUUGGAAGAAGAAUCUGGUGCGCAGUCAAAUUCUAUACAGAUACGAAGAAUUUGAUUGCUAUGAGCAUGCUGGUCCAAGGACUGAGUAAAACUGCUAACUAGUUGUCUAUUGCUGAUUCCUCGGUGAAAUCUGAGUGCUCCUACUGUAACCUUCGAGACUCUUCUAUCAUUUAUAGUAAGCCCCUUUGAGACUCUUCAGGGCCUGCCACCUUACUCAUUGUCUUACCGUGGAAUGUAAGAUCACAACCUAUUUACCUUUUUCCCAGAAGCCCAUCCCUGGCGUUUGUUUUACCCCUCCCCACAGGGUUUGUGGAGUGGGUCUUGGCCUUAUCUGUUGCUUUUGUUCCUUGAAAGACAAACGUCCAUCCUUUGUCAUUGACUGGCUUUGAAACAGAUGGCCACAGAAUUUGUAAUUGUGGGAAAAUGAAAACACUCCGAAGUAUAAAGUCGCCAGAUUACCACUCCCAAAUGUGCUAAGUUCUCAUACGUUCUUUGUGUCUUCUUUUCCCCAUACAGUAAUUCUGUGGGCCUCCAGGGUAAGGUUCCCAUCAUGUCUCCGAGUACCUCGUUCCCUGUGACCUCAGCUUGGUCCUUUAGCUAGCUCUUCUGCAUCCUUCUGCAGGGCCCCGGCACACAGGCACAUCAGGCACAGCGGUUAUGUAUGACUGCCAAAGCUGACAGGAUGAUUGUGUUAGCGUAUGUUGAGUGCGGGAUACAGCUCCAGGGAGCAGGAGCACUUCCUGGAACACCUAGUGCAGGAGUUGGACAGAUAGCUCAGUGGUUAAGAGCACAUAUUAUCCUGGCAGGGGACCUGGGUUCUAUGUCUGGCACCCACACCAGGCAGCUCACAGCUGUCUGUAGCUCCAGUUCCAGGAGCUUUGUUAUCCCUCUGACCUCCUCAUACAUAGACAUACACAUGUACACCAAGCAAACAAAACAAAGAAAUGCCUAGCGUAGAAUUUUGCUAUGGUGUUGUGUUUCCCAGGGACGUGAGCACAGAGCCACGUGGCCUGAGAUGGAAGGGCUGCCAUGUUUCUGGGUGUAGAUCCUUCCAGCCGUCUUGGAAUGCCUAUGCUUUGCUACUCAGUACAUUCAAUGUGCUUUCCUCUCUUCUAAUGAGCUCCGCCCUAGAGGCUCCUCAGUCCUCCGAUGAGAACGACCAGACUCCACAGCCUCCAACAGUGGGUAAAACGUGGGCUUGUUCCCAGGAGGAUGUUUGACCCUCACGAGACUUGCAUCAAGCUCAAGCUGCCAGUUCAGCUUCAGAGAAAGCUGAUCCCUAAAAGGGGUGGAGGAAAGUCAGGCUGAGCUGAGGUCUCAGCCCAGCCACCCAUGCUGGUUCCCGGUUUUGAAGCAGUUAUUUAUUAUCUACUUAUUGGCCCUUUGCUUUACAAUUGAUUUCUGAGCGUAAGGCUCCCCAGGAGAAAUUGCAUGACUGAGGUUUUGUGUCUUGAUUGUCUGUGAAGGCCUCUAGUAUGAACCAUGUGUUUCUGAUGCCAGGGACCCUUGAAUGGUGGCUGACUGCUGCUUUUGGUCUCUGCCACGUCAUAGACACGACUCUCCAAAGGCGUUGCCCCCAUACUUCAACGCUCCUUUCCUUCCUGAUUCACCCACCGCCUUUCAUUACCCAUCCCGUCUCGAUUACCCGUCUCCGAGUCUUCAGACCGCUCAGAGAUCCAGUGACGUCGUUUCCGGUGGUGGCAGGAGGUGUUCAUAGCUGGCUCCUUCGCAGUUAACUGUGGAGUCCGGCCUGGAGCGAGUUGACUGAUGAUUCAGUGUUUGGAGUGUACUCAGAGAUCCUCACGUGAAACUUUUGUCCUAUAGCAUCUCUGAAGAAAAUUGCUUUGGUCCCAUGUAUGAAGAGUCGCUGAUGGCCAAAAGAACCACUCUGUAAUUUUCCAGUGGAGAAGCUGAGGUCCUCCCAGUGCCGUGUUGACAUCUUUUCACCCAAAUCCGCCACCACUUGACCAAGGACCCUGACAGUGGUUACCCUGCAGGCUGCUGCCCAUAAUUCUAACUGGCUCCAGUAGACCCGAGAACAACCUCCUCUCUCUCUCCUCAACUUGGCUGAAGACUAGAGCCGUCUAGGAACACAAGCUUUAGAAGCCACAAUUCCUGCUGUUCCUCUCUCCCCCGCUAUUAACACACAGGUGCAAGAAUGAAUUGAUCUUACAGUACGGAUAUAAGGAUCAUGACUAAUACAGUCAAAAGACUUAGGGGUUUUCAAAGGCUCAAGAGGAGUAUAAAGAAAUGAGAAUCUUUUUUUCCUUUUGUAAUCUGUGUAGAUUCGUUUCAGCUCUGGUUCUUUUUGGUAGGCCAAAGAUGGCUUCCAAGAAAAGACUACAUUGAUGCUGAACCUUGAGGAAUGGUAAAGAUGAUCCAGGACUAAGAUCCAAGAGGCUAAGAGAACGGUGUGGGCAAAACAGGGCAGUGAGAGUUGAUGGCCUGGCAUUCCCCAGAAGUAGAGGGGAGCUAGGAAAAAAGUCUGGAAAAGCCACUUGACAAGGUGUUGGCGUUGGUGGCGCUCUUUCUGCGAAGCCUUCUCUGAUGUGCACCGCUGGACGGAAUGCUGUUUCUCUGUACUUCUGGAAUGCUCUGCCUCUGUCCCAGGGUAGCUCCUCAUGCAGGACGUGGAAUCACAUUCUUCUUGAUGCCUUUUCUCUGUUGUUGUUUUUCAUGUCCUCAAACUUCAAUGCAUAUUUUUCACUUCAGAAUGGUUUUGUGUGAGCCGUCAUAGCGGACUAGGCAUUAGUCUCUUCUGGGGGUUAUAGUUUUGCUACAGUGGGAAAGCUGGG